UCAACAAUUCGCCAAACUGUUCACACGCUAAAAAAUACACUCUGCUAACAGUGACUGUUAAUGUUUUACAUAUGGGUUCUUUUUUCGUCACAACUCGGUGCAAAAAUAAAAAAACAAUGCAAAAGUUUUGGUGAUAUUUGUCGGUCGAAUACUUGAUGAUUUUAAAUCUAUAUUUAAAAGAAAAAAUAAUAUUUAUUAUGUAAUUUUACAGUACACAAUGAAUGGAAAUUUUGUUAGGUGUCUGUCAUGUCAAAUGUAGAAAAAAAAAAAACAAAAAAACGUCUGGAGUAAACAAAUUUUGGAUUGUGUAAUAGAUUUGUCCUUGUUUUUUGUAAAAUAUUUAUCCGGAUGAUCCAAUGUCAAGCCAGGAACAACUGGCUUAUGAUACGGGCAAAUAAGCAAGAGAGCAUUCGCAGGACAGCCAAAAACGCUGCCGUUGUCGGCAACCAAGCAACGGAACGGAAUCAGAACAACGGAAGACAAUCGGAUUCUCAAGAGGAAAACGAACCAUGUCCUCUAGAGCAUUGUGUAAACCGGAAUCGAUUACUGGCCAUAAUAGAAGACAACGCGAAGCCAGACAAGCCGGAAUAUAAUCUGUCGCUGGUCUAGCAAUGAUCAGAAAAGGAGUGAAAGUGUGUUGGGGAAACUGUAAGGGCUAAAAUGAACAAAAAUAACGGCAAUAAUUAAUAUCAGUGUGUUUUUAUUAUAGAUUAUGGAACAAGUAUGUACGAGUGGUAUGAAUUCACAUCAAUCAAAAAUUUAAGUUUUGUCAUAUUUUCUAGUAAUACAAGUUAUUCGUUAUUAUGUGAAACGGUGGUUUUGAUUAGACUAUAAUAUAUUUUUGAUUGAGGUGAGUUUUUCUACUCGUAUUUACUUGUUCCAUUGCUGCUCAUUAUUUACUCAAAGCAUAUUUACUUCUAUGGUAUAAGUACAACAAGACAGUUUAGCAUACGGUUAAAUUACAAUAAAACACCAUAAGCCAACGAA